CCUACGGGUGGCUGCAGUGGGGAAUAUUGGACAAUGGGGGGAACCCUGAUCCAGCCAUGCCGCGUGUGUGAAGAAGGCCCUCGGGUUGUAAAGCACUUUCAGUGAGGAAGAACGCCUGGUGGUUAAUACCCAUCAGGAAAGACAUCACUCACAGAAGAAGCACCGGCUAACUCCGUGCCAGCAGCCGCGGUAAUACGGAGGGUGCGAGCGUUAAUCGGAAUUACUGGGCGUAAAGCGCGCGUAGGUGGCUUGAUAAGCAGGUUGUGAAAGCCCCGGGCUCAACCUGGGAACGGCAUCCGGAACUGUCAAGCUAGAGUGCAGGAGAGGAAGGUAGAAUUCCCGGUGUAGCGGUGAAAUGCGUAGAGAUCGGGAGGAAUACCAGUGGCGAAGGCGGCCUUCUGGACUGACACUGACACUGAGGUGCGAAAGCGUGGGUAGCAAACAGGAUUAGAUACCCCGGUAGUC
rnacentral:rRNA from 1 species